GGCCGCCUCUCUCUCCCCCUCUCCCCCAGAACAGACCCGCCGCCGCCUCUCUCUCCCGCUCUCCCCGAUCCAGAUCGAUGACGGCGGACCCCCGUCGCUGCCCCGUCCUUCCCCAUCCCGCCACCGCCUCUCUCUCCCACCCACCCUGAUCCAUCCCCUCCCCACCCAUCCUUCCCCUUGUCUCACUCCCACCCACAGAUGCUGCAUGCCCCAACCCAAACCCUCUCCCUCCCACCUCAAUCCGCUGUCACACCCACUGUCGAGGACCCAGAUCGAGCAGGCGAGGCGGUGCUUCCAGACCCGUGACAACGAAGUCCGGGGGGCACGGGGCCGGGGACGUGUGCCAGAUCUGCGCCGACGGCCUGGAUACCAUGAUGGACGGCGAGGUCUUCACCGCCUGCGACGCCUGCCACUUCCCAGUCUGGCACCCAGGCCUGCUUCUAGUGCACGAGCGCAAGGAGGGCACCCAGGCCUGCCUCCAGUGCAAGACCAAGCACUAGCACUUCUGCCAGCUCGACCGCAUCGCCAAGGGCUUCAUCUCCGAGGACAAGUUCCUUUCCAUCCCGGAGUUCUCCACCAACCCGCUCUCCUUGGUUCGUCUCCCCUCCUCCAUCUCUCGUCGAUGAGAUGGUGAAUUUUGUUCCCAGUGUUUGAAGAUCAUCAUCCUCUGACAGUGUUGCUCAUCCCCACCGCCGGAGCUCUACUUUCAGUGCCGUCAUUCAGAUUUAGAGAUGCAGGAAGAACAACUGAUGGUAAGAAGGAGGAGAGGAGGGCAAGAUGGUGAAGCACAACUAUGUCAAGACGUGGUUCGACCAGCCCACCCGCAAGUAGAGGCACCGCAUCGGAGAGAACCUGGUGUUCUAUAUGGGGAAGCAAAGAAGCAGCUCACAACUCCGACCUGCAACUCCCAAUGAAGGCAAAGUGACUCACCAUGCUGCUCCUUUGGAAGAUGCUAGCCUUCAUUCGUCAAAAGUUGAUGUACAAGAGCUCCAGGAGAAGAAUCCUGAAGAAAACCAGCACCCAACUAUGUGUUUUAGCUCCCUGGAGCUGGCCAUGUUAAUAUUAGGUGUAUUUUAUAGUUGAAUACCUGAUUUGUAAUGCCAUGACUGUAAAGUACUUUGUUUGGCUGUCGUUUGAAAUUCUAUGUAUUAUUGGCUCUGUUUGAAUCAA